AUUGAACGCUGGCGGCAGGCUUAACACAUGCAAGUCGAGCGGAGAGAGGUAGCUUGCUACUGAUCUUAGCGGCGGACGGGUGAGUAAUGCUUAGGAAUCUGCCUAUUAGUGGGGGACAACAUUUCGAAAGGAAUGCUAAUACCGCAUACGUCCUACGGGAGAAAGCAGGGGAUCUUCGGACCUUGCGCUAAUAGAUGAGCCUAAGUCGGAUUAGCUAGUUGGUGGGGUAAAGGCCUACCCAGGCGACGAUCUGUAGCGGGUCUGAGAGGAUGAUCCGCCACACUGGGACUGGGACACGGCCCAGACUCCUACGGGAGGCAGCAGUGGGGAAUAUUGGACAAUGGGCGGAAGCCUGAUCCAGACAUGCCGCGUGUGUGAAGAAGGCCUUAUGGUUGUAAAGCACUUUAAGCGAGGAGGAGGCUACUUUAGUUAAUACCUAGAGAUAGUGGACGUUACUCGCAGAAUAAGCACCGGCUAACUCUGUGCCAGCAGCCGCCGUAAUAC
rnacentral:rRNA from 1 species